rnacentral:rRNA from 1 species
CCAGACUCCUACGGGAGGCAGCAGUGGGGAAUAUUGGGCAAUGGGCGCAAGCCUGACCCAGCAACGCCGCGUGAAGGAAGAAGGCUUUCGGGUUGUAAACUUCUUUUGUCAGGGACGAAGCAAGUGACGGUACCUGACGAAUAAGCCACGGCUAACUACGUGCCAGCAGCCGCGGUAAUACGUAGGUGGCAAGCGUUAUCCGGAUUUACUGGGUGUAAAGGGAGCGUAGACGGCAUGGCAAGUCAGAUGUGAAAGCCCGGGGCUCAACCCCGGGACUGCAUUUGAAACUGUCAGGCUGGAGUGCAGGAGAGGUAAGUGGAAUUCCUAGUGUAGCGGUGAAAUGCGUAGAUAUUAGGAGGAACACCAGUGGCGAAGGCGGCCUGCUGGACGGAUACUGACGCUGAGGCCCGAAAGCGUGGGGAGCGAACAGGAUUAGAUACCCCCGUAGC